rnacentral:tRNA from 1 species
CCAUUGAUCUAUGGAAUUAGAGCACUCCCUUGGUAAGGGAGAGGUCGAGAGUUCGAUCCUCUCUGG